GUACGUGAAACCGCUUAGUAGUAAACGGAGGGACUCUCGAAGUCGGCGGUGACGGUUCAGGGUGACGGCGGGGCGGCCUGGGGGCGUGGGAUCCGCAAGGACCCUGUCCCUUUGUUGGCUCUGUCGGCGCCUGCACUUCGUUGCCGCCAUACGCGACGAACCGUUUCUGACGGACCGAGGGCGUGGGUGAAGUUUGCGGCCUUCGGGCUUCAAGCCCCGCGUUCCUGGCUCUGUCGGGGACGGGUAGUGGAGCGAUCUCUUAUAGAGAGUGCCCUUGCUGGCACGGUUCGCAUCUCUGUCGCGAGUAGGUCGGCGGUCCCUCCGACCCGUCUUGAAACACGGAC
rnacentral:rRNA from 1 species